AUCUGGGUGCGAUAGAAUUUGAAAGAAAAGCAUUUGGACCUGAACAUGUACUGCAAUAAUAUACAACAAUCUUUAUUUGGUUAGAAACAAACUAUAGACAUUGAAACUGAAGCAUUUGCACUUCUAUUUAUCUUUCAUUUGCUAGAAGAUAAAAUACUCCUGUCUUUGAGAAAACGUACAAGGAGAUAGAAGAAGAGGAAAUGAAUUUGUAGCUCAUUUUCAAUGAAGAAGAAAAUCAAUUUCUCUUUUCAUUUUAGGUAGUGAUGUAGCCAAGAAAAAUGGAGCUUUUACUCUAAUUAUGUGUGUCUGGCCCAUAUUUACUGUUGUCAUCUCAUAUGCAGUGUAGUGAGUAACGAAAAAGUAAUUGAACAACAAAAUAUUUAUUUUCAUAGCACUGGUAGACUUGCUACACGCUACGAGUUGUCAUGGUGUUAUUAAAUGGCUGAAUUCUGAUAUCUUCCUUUGAUUCUUCUUGAUUUAAUUUUUCGAAGAUUAUACACGUAUUUAAUAAAAUAUACAUUUAAGUUGAUUUAU